AAUCUGACCACCCUCUGAUGCAGCACCUGUCCCUGACCCCCAGCUGCCCCUCUCCUGACACUGCUUAGUGCUGCUCCUCCACUCCCUGUGAGGAGCUGCAGCUGCUAUGAGGCCUCCCCUCAGCUCCUCUGUUGUGUAUUUCCAGUCAUCCAUGGAUGUUGUCCUGUGCAUGACAAUACAAAUGCAGAGUUGCAUCAUUUCAUCAAAGAAGUGCCUGUUUGAAUUAACAGCUCAGAUGUAUGCGGUGGCCUUUGUUAGAAAAAAAACAUUGAGCUCCCUCUGGUAGGUAGAAGACAGCUGGCAGGUACUUAGUGCCUUGUCCUGAGAGAGGAGCUCCUGGCUGAAGGAAAAAAAAGCCUGUACUCUCUUCCAACAAGAGGCACUGUGGGACCUUUAAUGUGGCUGUGGGACUGGCUUUUACUGGCUCUUAAAAAGGAAAGAAAGAAAAACAAAAGCAAACAACACAACUGUACUCAAUACAUAUUAUGAUGUGUUCUUUAUUUGGAAAGCUAAAGGAGGAAAAGGGAUCAAGGAACACUGCCAUCAGGUUGUAUGUCCUUAAUGUUCACAGUAAUGUUUGUGCUGGGAUUAGUCCGUAGAAAGAAUAUUUGAAAGAAUAAUUUAAAAAAACAGGUUAUUCAUGUCGUCUGUAACGAUGCAAAAUAAAAAAGCAUGAAACACCCA
rnacentral:lncRNA from 1 species